rnacentral:rRNA from 1 species
AUACGAAGGGCCCGAGCGUUAAUCGGAAUCAUUGGGCUUAAAGGGUGCGUAGGCGGACCCGCAAGUGUCUUGUGAAAUCCCACGGCUCAACCGUGGAACUGCUGGGCAUACUGCGGGCCUUGAGGUCGGCAGAGGUCGCCGGAACUCUAGGUGUAGCGGUGAAAUGCGUAGAUAUCUAGAGGAACGCCAAAGGCGAAGGCAGGUGGCUGGGCCGAUUCUGACGCUGAGGCACGAAAGCAUGGGUAGCGAACGGGAUUAGAAACCCCAGUAGUCC